UCCAUCCCUCUUUCUCUACCUCCCUCCCUCUCUUCUCUAGUCAUCAUCUUCUUGCCAACUCAUUGACUCACAUUGGAGCAUUUGCUGAAGCUAAGCAAAAUAAGAGAAAAGCAUACAAUAUCUAUAGGACUAAAUUUGGCCCAGAUCAUGCAUGUACUGUUCAGUCUUAUAAAAAAUGUGAGGUAUAUCACUGAAAAGCAAGUCUCUUAUGACCAGACUGUUGCCUAAAUUUCCUUGCCAGUUUUUUGAAUGUUACAUCAUCUAAUCGUUUAGCAGUGCAGAGUCAUCAUUAACUGUGAGUUAGUAGUAACUAGUAAU